CGGGACACGUGGUAUCCUGUCUGAAUAUGGGGGGACCAUCCUCCAAGGCUAAAUACUCCUGACUGACCGAUAGUGAACCAGUACCGUGAGGGAAAGGCGAAAAGAACCCCGGCGAGGGGAGUGAAAAAGAACCUGAAACCGUGUACGUACAAGCAGUGGGAGCACGCUUAGGCGUGUGACUGCGUACCUUUUGUAUAAUGGGUCAGCGACUUAUAUUCUGUAGCAAGGUUAACCGAAUAGGGGAGCCGAAGGGAAACCGAGUCUUAACUGGGCGUUAAGUUGCAGGGUAUAGACCCGAAACCCGGUGAUCUAGCCAUGGGCAGGUUGAAGGUUGGGUAACACUAACUGGAGGACCGAACCGACUAAUGUUGAAAAAUUAGCGGAUGACUUGUGGCUGGGGGUGAAAGGCCAAUCAAACCGGGAGAUAGCUGGUUCUCCCCGAAAGCUAUUUAGGUAGCGCCUCGUGAAUUCAUCUCCGGGGGUAGAGCACUGUUUCGGCAAGGGGGUCAUCCCGACUUACCAACCCGAUGCAAACUGCGAAUACCGGAGAAUGUUAUCACGGGAGACACACGGCGGGUGCUAACGUCCGUCGUGAAGAGGGAAACAACCCAGACCGCCAGCUAAGGUCCCAAAGUCAUGGUUAAGUGGGAAACGAUGUGGGAAGGCCCAGACAGCCAGGAUGUUGGCUUAGAAGCAGCCAUCAUUUAAAGAAAGCGUAAUAGCUCACUGGUCGAGUCGGCCUGCGCGGAAGAUGUAACGGGGCUAAACCAUGCACCGAAGCUGCGGCAGCGACGCUGAUGCGUUGUUGGGUAGGGGAGCGUUCUGUAAGCCUGCGAAGGUGUGCUGUGAGGCAUGCUGGAGGUAUCAGAAGUGCGAAUGCUGACAUAAGUAACGAUAAAGCGGGUGAAAAGCCCGCUCGCCGGAAGACCAAGGGUUCCUGUCCAACGUUAAUCGGGGCAGGGUGAGUCGACCCCUAAGGCGAGGCCGAAAGGCGUAGUCGAUGGGAAACAGGUUAAUAUUCCUGUACUUGGUGUUACUGCGAAGGGGGGACGGAGAAGGCUAUGUUGGCCGGGCGACGGUUGUCCCGGUUUAAGCGUGUAGGCUGGUUUUCCAGGCAAAUCCGGAAAAUCAAGGCUGAGGCGUGAUGACGAGGCACUACGGUGCUGAAGCAACAAAUGCCCUGCUUCCAGGAAAAGCCUCUAAGCAUCAGGUAACAUCAAAUCGUACCCCAAACCGACACAGGUGGUCAGGUAGAGA
rnacentral:rRNA from 1 species